UCGGCGUCGGUUGCCCGGGCGAUGCGCCGCACGCGUGCAGGCCCACACACCCUGAAGGCGGAGCCCGGGUGGAGAGGCUGGUUCCCGGACCACCCAGCUGCCUGGAAGGGUGCGAGGGCGGGCCUACCGGAGCCCACCGAGGGACAGGCGGGAAGAGAAAGCCAACUCCAGAAUGUGGUCUUCUGACGUCUACAAGUGAGGCAUGGAGCAUGAGCACUGACUGCCCCCACACACCAAAACAAUACUUUUAGAAAAUUUAGGAGCGGAAGGGUUAUAGGCAUGUAGGACCAUACAUGGCUUUACAUGGACUAUACUACCUGGCACACGAUGUUUACUGAAUGAAUCCUGAAUGAACGAAUGGCCGCACCAAUAGCCGCAUGAAGAUGGUAUCUCAAGCAGGUUUUUAAAAAGUUAAAUUUAUUUUUAUUUUACUUGCUUUGGUGUUUUGCCUGCAUGUAUGUUUGUGUGAGGGUAUCAGAUCUUGGUGUUACAGACAGCUGUGAGCUGCCAUGUGGUUGCUGGGAAUUGAACCCAGGACCACUGGAAGAGCAGUCCGUGCUCUUAACUGCUGAGCCAUGUCUCUAGCCCCCGAUAUAGGUUUUUCAUUGCCAUUUUGUUCUUGUUUUCUUUUCGAGACAGAGUCUCACAUAGCUCAGUCAUGCCUCACACUUCCUAUAAAUAGCUAGGAUGGCCUUGAACUCCUGAUUCUCCUGCUUCUACCUUCCAUGUGUUAAUGGAAGUGCUUAUACCACCAUGUUGGUUCUGGUACAGUUUUCAAUGGCACCAAGAGGGGCUCCACAGGGAAAAAGGAGAAAGCAGAGGCUCAAAAGGCUUCUGCUCUGGGUUAUUCGAGCCAUCUUGUCAGACUGACACAGACCGAGAUCCCCUGGAACUGCUGGGGUGCUGUAGUAAGCCCCCGAGAGCC